AAGGAGGAUAUAUCAAAUGCUUGGCUGAGGAGUGAGGAGCUUUCAUUUUUUUUCUUCCCUUUUGACACAGUGGUAUGAACGAAAAUAAUGCCUUGAUAUUUCUUCUAUACAUUACUGAAGGUAAAGGGGUAGUGAUAUAUGUCCAAAAAUGGCUUCGCUCUGCCUAAAUUCUUUGCCUCUGCCACCGUCUUCUCAGCCCAAAAAAGUGGUGGAAACUUCAUUAUUUUCUUCAGUGAAUUAUAACAGUACUAAUGGCCUUGUCAAAGGAGGAGAGUCCUUAAAACCUAUAGUCAUAAGUGGAAACCCCCCAACUUAUGUUUCUGCUCCUGGUCGCCGAAUUGUUGCUGUUGGGGACUUGCAUGGAGACCUUGACCAAACAAGAUAUGCACUUGAGAUGGCUGGAGUGUUGAGUAACGAUGGUCAAGACAUGUGGGUUGGUGGAGAAACGGUGUUGGUUCAGCUUGGAGAUAUACUUGAUCGAGGUGAAGAUGAAAUAGCUAUUUUAUCCUUAUUGCGAUCUUUGGAUAUACAGGCCAAAUCUCAAGGUGGAGCAGUUUUUCAGGUGAAUGGGAAUCAUGAGACUAUGAAUGUGGAAGGGGAUUUUAGAUAUGUUGAUGCUGGGGCUUUCGAGGAGUGUAGUGAUUUUUUAGAAUACUCAGAUGGAAAUCGAGAUGACUGGGAAGAAGCAUUUGUUAAUUGGAAUGUUGUCUCCACUCAGUGGAAAGAAGAUCACAAAAUGACCCAAAAUUAUUGGGGUCCCUGGAAUCUAGUGAAGAGACAAAAGGGUGUCAUUGCCAGAUCAAUUCUUAUGAGUCCAGGAGGUAAACUGGCAUGUGAGUUAGCGCGGCAUUCUAUUGUUCUUAAGAUUAAUGAUUGGGUCUUUUGUCAUGGUGGUCUGCUUCCUCAUCAUGUUGAAUAUGGCAUAGAUAGGAUCAACAGGGAUGUUUCUCUCUGGAUGAGAGGUCUCACUAAAACAGAUAAUGGUCCUGGAAUUCCUUUUCUAGCGACCAGGGGCUAUGACAGUGUUGUUUGGAACCGCCUGUACUCCAGAGAUAGUUCGGAAUUAGAGGACUAUCAGGUUGAGCAGAUAAAUUCUAUUCUUGAGGAGACACUACAAGCAGUUGAUGCCAGGGCAAUGGUGGUCGGACAUACUCCUCAAACUGAGGGAGUAAAUUGUAAAUACAAUUGUAGUAUAUGGCGCAUCGAUGUGGGCAUGUCCAGUGGGGUCCUUAAUUCGACGCCUGAGGUAAAUAGAAAUCUUUGGAAAAGUUCUAGAAAUAAGAGACAAUAAAGCCAGAGUUAUAAAGAGCAAGAGGAGGGCAUAUAGUGAACUUCAGGCUGCUGAUUAUACAUAGAGAUAAAACCAUUAAACUAACCAGACAUUUUAUCACUUAAAGUUGCAGCAUUGCUGAGAUACCAUAUCAGGAGAAUUUGAUCUAUGGAUGGCAUCAAAGAAGCGCCUUUUCACUUGUUUGGCUAUCUAUCCAUGGCAUUCAUACAGCAAGAGACUAACUUGUAAGUGUAGAGGAAGUGUAACAUAUCUUCAACAUGAUCAAAUAUUAUUCGGGCUGGGUUCAAGAAAAAAAAAUUGAUUUAGCUGUCUAUAAUUAUAUAUAUAAAUGUAUAGUGAAAUAUUCCUCCCAUAUUUAAUCAAAUUUAUACAUACCACCAGUAUUUAUUGUAAAUUCAUUUGAUUCUAUUGUGUACUGUCCAUGCUGAAAACUUCAUCUUUUUGAGUUGUGUAA